rnacentral:rRNA from 1 species
ACGGGUGAGUAAUGUCUGGGAAACUGCCUGAUGAGGGGGAUAACUACUGGAAACGGUAGCUAAUACCGCAUAACGUCGCAAGACCAAAGAGGGGGACCCGUCGGGCCUCUUGCCAUCGGAUGUGCCCAGAUGGGAUUAGCUUGUUGGUGGGGUAACGGGCUCACCAAGGCGACGAUCCCUAGCUGGUCUGAGAGGAUGACCAGCCACACUGGAACUGAGACACGGUCCAGACUCCUACGGGAGGCAGCAUG